UAAAAACAAAUAAGAUACAUAACAAACGAUAUUAUUACUAAAUAUUGAAAGUGUUGCUAAAAUAUUGACGAAAAAUUUCGUUAUUUUUUGACAAGUCGUUGGAAUUUGGCCAUAAUUCGACAAGUCCACCACCAAAAAAAUCCGAAAUUUCCCUUUCUUUUUGCUUCUUCUUCCAGUAAAUCAGCGACCAUCCAAGGCAACCUCCAUCUUUUCCCUUCGUAUUUCCAUUUUUCGGGCAGUAGCUCCGGUGAAGACUCAAAAGCUCUGAUGAAAGAAGAAGAAAAUCACCAUUUCUUUUUUCCUUUUUCCUCUUCGAUCUGUUGUUUGAUUUUUGCAGGUAAUCCAAGCAUGCUUAAGGCUCAUCACAACAACCAGCAAACCAACAGCCAACAAACGAGUCCGAAUUCCGACUCCAUCGAACCAGCACAAGAAAAAAUGAAAUCCUAUUAGCAACAAGAUUGGAACUUCAUAAAUCGAAGCUCCAAUAAUCUUUUCACCUUCAUCAAUGUUGUAGGAGAUGCUUUCCAUUGGAGUUAUUCGAACAAAGUUUGAAUUAUAUUAUUUAUGCAUUACUUUGUAUAUAUUAACGUUAAGCAAAUCUUAGACCGUGUCUUAUAUUACUAUUUUAUUUUAU